GAAGAAUCCAUAAAAACCUAGCCUACAGCAUUUAACGGAAUGUUAAGCCUAAUUCCAAUAUCUUAUUGUAACAGGCUUUUUUCUAUUACCACCAAGCAAGAAACUCUACUUUUGUUAUUUUAGAUCUUCUCUGGUCCAAGAAUUUAGCAAGAAAUCUAUAAUUUAGUGUUGUAAAUUGAAAGCAGAGAUUUCUGUUUUUGCGCUUGAAAAGCCAUCACGUCAUCACUGUGGCCUUGAAAGAUUCCUUGCUCGUCUCUUCUAUAAAUACCCCUAUAACCUCACACUCUUUUCAUCUACCCUUUCCCAUAGCCUUUUUCUUAUAUCUUUCCCCUGUUUCUGAGCUCUGCUUUCUACUGUCUUUUUUCUUUGAAACGUCUCUAAAAAUGGAAAACGGUGAGGACAAGUUUCCAACAAGCUUGCCUUUCAAAACCCAAAAACUAUUCAUUGCUGCUCAGAUUUGUUUGAGAAGUUUCGCUAUUGCAGCCACAUUUGCCGCAGCUUGGCUGACGCUCACUAACAAGGAAUCCAUUCAUGUUGGUAUCUUCGUCGUAGAUGCUAGAUAUAGCUACUCCUCAGCUUUCAGGUUCUUUGCUUUUGCAAAUGUUGUUGUAUGUGCCUUCUCUGUGCUGUCCUUGAUGUUCCUCUUCGUUGUUUGUCGUUAUGGCUCGAACCCUGCCUACUUUUUCUUCAUGUUCCUCAAUGAUUUGAUGAUGAUGUGCUUGGUUCUUGCUGGAUGCGCAGCUGCCACUGCAGUAGGUUUCGUUGGGAAGUAUGGGAAUAGCCACUCAGGUUGGAUGCCGGUCUGCGACCACUUUGGCAGAUUCUGUCACAGAGGAACAAUUUCUGUCACACUCUCUUACUUGUCCUUGAUUUUCUUGUUGAUGCUUACAAUCACUUCUGCAAGCAACUCUAGGCAAAUUCAGAAGUAGAGCUUGAAUAUAAUGUUGCUGAUCAUGCAAUGAAAUAAAAAGCAUGAAACCAAAAAAGGGGAAGAUUAUGGUGAAAUGUGUUUCUCUUGUAAACUUGUAAUGACUGCUUAAUUUUCAAUAUGAAAGGGAACCGACUUAGUGCUCUCUCGUCUUUUUCUAUUUGUCUCUUCUUUUCUGCUGCUGCCUCCAUUCCCAUUUCUGGUUUCCAUGCUCGGAG
rnacentral:misc_RNA from 1 species